GCCUCCUUGGCUCAGUUAUGCUAGAGCGCAGGUCGCAUAGUUCUUCUAUGACCGUGAUUCCAAGGUGUAAUCCUGAGGGUCGCAAGUUCGAGCCUUGCAGGGGGCA